AAGUCGAGCGGAACGAGUUAUCUGAACCUUCGGGGAACGAUAACGGCGUCGAGCGGCGGACGGGUGAGUAAUGCCUAGGAAAUUGCCCUGAUGUGGGGGAUAACCAUUGGAAACGAUGGCUAAUACCGCAUAAUACCUACGGGUCAAAGAGGGGGACCUUCGGGCCUCUCGCGUCAGGAUAUGCCUAGGUGGGAUUAGCUAGUUGGUGAGGUAAUGGCUCACCAAGGCGACGAUCCCUAGCUGGUCUGAGAGGAUGAUCAGCCACACUGGAACUGAGACACGGUCCAGACUCCUACGGGAGGCAGCAGUGGGGAAUAUUGCACAAUGGGCGCAAGCCUGAUGCAGCCAUGCCGCGUGUGUGAAGAAGGCCUUCGGGUUGUAAAGCACUUUCAGUCGUGAGGAAGGUAGUGUAGUUAAUAGCUGCAUUAUUUGACGUUAGCGACAGAAGAAGCACCGGCUAACUCCGUGCCAGCAG
rnacentral:rRNA from 1 species